UUUUAUUUAAGUACAAAGAUUUUGGGAAUCGGCCACUACCUUGCAGUCACGUGAUGAAAAGACACAGGUGACACUGAUCCGGAUUUGGUAGUUGACAAAUCCUCCAUGCCGAGAUUAGUUUCAUUUUGCGUCUUUUGAAUUCGAAUAGUUCAUGUGAUGUGACGUAGUGGAACAUACCUGAAAUUACAAGCAACACGAAGUGAA
rnacentral:precursor_RNA from 15 species